GUGCCAGCCGCCGCGGUAAUACGGAGGGUGCGAGCGUUAAUCGGAAUUACUGGGCGUAAAGGGCGCGUAGGCGGUCGCGCAAGUCGGGUGUGAAAGCCCCGGGCUCAACCUGGGAAUUGCAUUCGAUACUGCGUAACUAGAGUCUGGUAGAGGGAAGCGGAAUUCCGCAUGUAGCGGUGAAAUGCGUAGAUAUCAGGAGGAACACCGGUGGCGAAGGCGGCUCUCUGGCCCGAUACUGACACUGAGGCACGAAAGCUGGGGGAGCAAACGGGAUUAGAUACCCCGGUAGUCCCAGCCGUAAACGAUGGGCACUAGGUGUAGGAGGUUUUAUCCUUCUGUGCCGUAGCUAACGCGUUAAGUGCCCCGCCUGGGGAGUACGGUCGCAAGGCUGAAACUCAAAUGAAUUGACGG
rnacentral:rRNA from 1 species